rnacentral:rRNA from 1 species
GGUGUCUGAGGCUCGCUGCAAUCGCGUGUCGCCCUUUUCCGGUUGAUCCUGCCGGAGGUCACUGCUAUCGGUGUUCGAUUAAGCCAUGCGAGUCGAGAGGCGUUAUGGCCUCGGCGGACUGCUCAGUAACACGUGGAUAACCUACCCAAGAGUCCGGGAUAACCCCGGGAAACUGGGGAUAAUACCGGAUAGAUCACUUCGGCUGGAAGGCGUUGUGGUUGAAACUUCCGGGGCUUUUGGAUGGGUCUGCGGCUGAUUAGGUUGUUGCCGGUGUAAUGUACCGUCAAGCCUGUAAUCAGUACGGGUUGUGGGAGCAAGAGCCCGGAGAUGGAUUCUGAGACACGAAUCCAGGCCCUACGGGGCGCAGCAGGCGCGAAAACUCUACAAUGCAGGCAACUGCGAUAGGGGAACAUCGAGUGAUCCUCAUAUUGGGGGUCUGUCCACUCGCCUAAAAAGCGGGUGUUAGCAAGGGCCGGGCAAGACCGGUGCCAGCCGCCGCGGUAAUACCGGCGGCUCGAGUGGUGGCCGAUAUUAUUGAGUCUAAAGGGUCCGUAGCCGGCUUUGCAAGUCUCUCGGGAAAUCCAGCGGCUUAACCGUUGGUCGUCCGGGGGGUACUACAUUGCUUGGGACUGGGAGAGGUAGGAGGUACUCAGGGGGUAGGAGUGAAAUCCUGUAAUCCUUUGGGGACCACCGGUGGCGAAGGCGUCCUACCAGAACAGGUCCGACGGUGAGGGACGAAAGCUAGGGGCACGAACCGGAUUAGAUACCCGGGUAGUCCUAGCCGUAAACGAUGCUCGCUAGGUGUCACAACAGUCGUGAACUGUUGUGGUGCCGUAGGGAAGCCGUGAAGCGAGCCACUUGGGAAGUACGACCGCAAGGUUGAAACUUAAAGGAAUUGGCGGGGGAGCACCACAACGGGUGGAGCCUGCGGUUUAAUUGGACUCAACGCCGGGAAGCUUACCGGGAUCGACAGUUGUAUGAAGGCCAGGCUGAAGACCUUGCCGGACUAUCUGAGAGGAGGUGCAUGGCCGCCGUCAGUUCGUACCGUGAGGCGUCCUGUUAAGUCAGGCAACGAGCGAGACCCAUGCCCACUGUUGCUAACACGCCCCGUGAGGGGUGGUGAGUACACGGUGGGGACCGCUGGCGCUAAGUCAGAGGAAGGGGUGGUCGACGGUAGGUCAGUAUGCCCCGAAUAUCCCGGGCUACACGCGGGCUACAAUGGACAGGACAAUGGGCAACUACACCGAAAGGUGGCGUCAAUCUCUUAAACCUGUCCUUAGUUCGGAUUGAGGGCUGUAACUCGCCCUCAUGAAGAUGGAAUCCGUAGUAAUCGCAUUUCAAAACAGUGCGGUGAAUACGUCCCUGCUCCUUGCACACACCGCCCGUCAAACCACCCGAGUGGGGUUUGAAUGAGGGCCUCUUCUUUGAGAGGCUCGAAUUCAUGCUCUGUAAGGGGGGUUAAGUCGUAACAAGGUAACCAAGGGCGACACGCGAUUGCAGUCAU